CUGCGAGCAGGGGUCCGGAGGGGACCCGGCAAGGCUCGGCUCGGCUCCGGUCCCGGCGCCUUAGCCGGCCACCUCCGCGUCACGUGGGCGGCAUCGCGGUCCCCUUGCGCCGAAAGCGCUCGCGCGUGUGCGGGACGUGUGCGUGUGCGUGCGUGUGCGUGUGUGUGGAUGUGCGUGUGUGUUUUAUAUGUGUGUCGACGUGAGAUUGCGUGUCAGUGCGGUGACCGUGCCAAAUAAGAACAAUACAUACGUGCAUCAAAAGUGCCAAAAAAGUGAAAGUGUAGGUGUGACAGCGUGCCAGUGAAAAUGUAAAAGUGUAGUGCUCAUCACAUCGCCUCCACAUGGAUUAUUUCAACCCAUUGGAUUACGAGGGCGGUGACAGCCAGAUGGAUUCCACCAUACGGGAUAUUGGUAAGCUGAAAGUACACUCAAGCAGAAUGGACUUUCGCGG